AGCUCGAUGAGUAGGGCGGGACACGUGGUAUCCUGUCUGAAUAUGGGGGGCCCAUCCUCCAAGGCUAAAUACUCCUGACUGACCGAUAGUGAACCAGUACCGUGAGGGAAAGGCGAAAAGAACCCCGGCGAGGGGAGUGAAAAAGAACCUGAAACCGUGUACGUACAAGCAGUGGGAGCACGCUUAGGCGUGUGACUGCGUACCUUUUGUAUAAUGGGUCAGCGACUUAUAUUCUGUAGCAAGGUUAACCGAAUAGGGGAGCCGAAGGGAAACCGAGUCUUAACUGGGCGUUAAGUUGCAGGGUAUAGACCCGAAACCCGGUGAUCUAGCCAUGGGCAGGUUGAAGGUUGGGUAACACUAACUGGAGGACCGAACCGACUAAUGUUGAAAAAUUAGCGGAUGACUUGUGGCUGGGGGUGAAAGGCCAAUCAAACCGGGAGAUAGCUGGUUCUCCCCGAAAGCUAUUUAGGUAGCGCCUCGUGAAUUCAUCUCCGGGGGUAGAGCACUGUUUCGGCAAGGGGGUCAUCCCGACUUACCAACCCGAUGCAAACUGCGAAUACCGGAGAAUGUUAUCACGGGAGACACACGGCGGGUGCUAACGUCCGUCGUGAAGAGGGAAACAACCCAGACCGCCAGCUAAGGUCCCAAAGUCAUGGUUAAGUGGGAAACGAUGUGGGAAGGCCCAGACAGCCAGGAUGUUGGCUUAGAAGCAGCCAUCAUUUAAAGAAAGCGUAAUAGCUCACUGGUCGAGUCGGCCUGCGCGGAAGAUGUAACGGGGCUAAACCAUGCACCGAAGCUGCGGCAGCGACGCUUAUGCGUUGUUGGGUAGGGGAGCGUUCUGUAAGCCUGCGAAGGUGUGCUGUGAGGCAUGCUGGAGGUAUCAGAAGUGCGAAUGCUGACAUAAGUAACGAUAAAGCGGGUGAAAAGCCCGCUCGCCGGAAGACCAAGGGUUCCUGUCCAACGUUAAUCGGGGCAGGGUGAGUCGACCCCUAAGGCGAGGCCGAAAGGCGUAGUCGAUGGGAAACAGGUUAAUAUUCCUGUACUUGGUGUUACUGCGAAGGGGGGACGGAGAAGGCUAUGUUGGCCGGGCGACGGUUGUCCCGGUUUAAGCGUGUAGGCUGGUUUUCCAGGCAAAUCCGGAAAAUCAAGGCUGAGGCGUGAUGACGAGGCACUACGGUGCUGAAGCAACAAAUGCCCUGCUUCCAGGAAAAGCCUCUAAGCAUCAGGUAACAUCAAAUCGUACCCCAAACCGACACAGGUGGUCAGGUAGAGAAUACCAAGGCGCUUGAGAGAACUCGGGUGAAGGAACUAGGCAAAAUGGUGCCGUAACUUCGGGAGAAGGCACGCUGAUAUGUAGGUGAAGUCCCUUGCGGAUGGAGCUGAAAUCAGUCGAAGAUACCAGCUGGCUGCAACUGUUUAUUAAAAACACAGCACUGUGCAAACACGAAAGUGGACGUAUACGGUGUGACGCCUGCCCGGUGCCGGAAGGUUAAUUGAUGGGGUCAGCGCAAGCGAAGCUCUUGAUCGAAGCCCCGGUAAACGGCGGCCGUAACUAUAACGGUCCUAAGGUAGCGAAAUUCCUUGUCGGGUAAGUUCCGACCUGCACGAAUGGCGUAAUGAUGGCCAGGCUGUCUCCACCCGAGACUCAGUGAAAUUGAACUCGCUGUGAAGAUGCAGUGUACCCGCGGCAAGACGGAAAGACCCCGUGAACCUUUACUAUAGCUUGACACUGAACAUUGAGCCUUGAUGUGUAGGAUAGGUGGGAGGCUUUGAAGUGUGGACGCCAGUCUGCAUGGAGCCGGCCUUGAAAUACCACCCUUUAAUGUUUGAUGUUCUAACGUGGACCCGUGAUCCGGGUUGCGGACAGUGUCUGGUGGGUAGUUUGACUGGGGCGGUCUCCUCCUAAAGAGUAACGGAGGAGCACGAAGGUUGGCUAAUCCUGGUCGGACAUCAGGAGGUUAGUGCAAUGGCAUAAGCCAGCUUGACUGCGAGCGUGACGGCGCGAGCAGGUGCGAAAGCAGGUCAUAGUGAUCCGGUGGUUCUGAAUGGAAGGGCCAUCGCUCAACGGAUAAAAGGUACUCCGGGGAUAACAGGCUGAUACCGCCCAAGAGUUCAUAUCGACGGCGGUGUUUGGCACCUCGAUGUCGGCUCAUCACAUCCUGGGGCUGAAGUAGGUCCCAAGGGUAUGGCUGUUCGCCAUUUAAAGUGGUACGCGAGCUGGGUUUAGAACGUCGUGAGACAGUUCGGUCCCUAUCUGCCGUGGGCGCUGGAGAACUGAGGGGGGCUGCUCCUAGUACGAGAGGACCGGAGUGGACGCAUCACUGGUGUUCGGGUUGUCAUGCCAAUGGCACUGCCCGGUAGCUAAAUGCGGAAGAGAUAAGUGCUGAAAGCAUCUAAGCACGAAACUUGCCCCGAGAUGAGUUCUCCCUGACCCUUUAAGGGUCCUGAAGGAACGUUGAAGACGACGACGUUGAUAGGCCGGGUGUGUAAGCGCAGCGAUGCGUUGAGCUAACCGGUACUAAUGAACCGUGAGGCUUAACCUU
rnacentral:rRNA from 1 species